rnacentral:tRNA from 1 species
AGUAGAGUCAGCUAAACAAGCUCUUAGGCCCAUACCCUGAAAAUGUAGGUUAAAACCCUUCCUUUACUA